rnacentral:lncRNA from 1 species
ACUGGUAGCCGAGAGAGUCCAGCAUCUAUAUGGUUAUUUUGACUCGUCCUCUGUCCUUUGUUCCAUGCCAUAAUAGCUAACCAAGCUGUCUGUGAUGCACACGUUUCAGGAUGACUGAGCACGGCUGAGUUUUCGGAGACAAGAGGACAGAAAUUCACGCUGAGAGUCCCUCCCGGCAGAGUACGAACCAACUCAUCCAUCGAUCGGGGAUUUUUACACCUUUCCAGCGUGGAUUCUUGCUGAUGCCCUCCCAGUCUGAUAUUGAUCGCAGGGUCACUAAUGAAAGCGACUUUUCUGAAGACUGUAAAAGAACCAAUUAUCUCUAUUAACUCUGCCUAGGAGGAACCACACAUUGGGCCCAGAUUAACUGCUCCCAGCUCUGAACAAGGUCAAGCCAUUCUCUUAUUCUUUGUCCCGGCCACCAGUCAUUGUGGUAGAGAAGCCCCACCCUCCACAGGAGCCCAGGACAGCCUAAGUGUUCGCCCUACUGCCACUGACUGUCGACAGCCAACAAGUUCUCACUUUAUAAGGCAGGUGACACGGCCCAGUGGAAAGAGCGUGGUCUGGGAAUCAGAAGCCCUGGGUUCUGCCACUCGCCUGCUGUGUGACCUUGGGUAAGUCACUUAACUUUCCUUUGCCUCAGUUUCCUCGUCUAUAAAAUGAGCAUGAAAUACCUGUUCUCCCUCCAUCUUAGACUCUGUGAUCCCCAGGUGGGACAGGAACUGAGACUGGCUUGAUUAUCUUGUAUCUACCCAGUGGUUAAUAGAGCAUUUGCACAUAGUAAGUGCUUAGCGCUUACUGUGCAUCAUUAUUUCUGUGCUUUUAACCUGCCCCAUUAGGGGCCCAGAGCACCACCCGGUCUGCUCCUAGAGAUGAAAAGCCCUGCUUCCUCCGAAACUCGUUUUGAUCCUGUUGAUUCCCCCAGCUCUCUUCUGACAUCAAUGCUGAGAACCGACCCGUAAAAUAGGUCGGAGCGUCGACUCCAUUUUAUGGGUGCAGUGACUGCUUGGGCCCGAGGGAACCAGAUGGGGCAGGAUUAGAACGUGCAACCUCGGGUGGGUUUGCAGAC